rnacentral:rRNA from 1 species
AGAGUUUGAUCCUGGCUCAGGAUGAACGCUGGCGGCGUGCCUAAUACAUGCAAGUCGAGCGAACGGACGAGAAGCUUGCUUCUCUGAUGUUAGCGGCGGACGGGUGAGUAACACGUGGAUAACCUACCUAUAAGACUGGGAUAACUUCGGGAAACCGGAGCUAAUACCGGAUAAUAUUUUGAACCGCAUGGUUCAAAAGUGAAAGACGGUCUUGCUGUCACUUAUAGAUGGAUCCGCGCUGCAUUAGCUAGUUGGUAAGGUAACGGCUUACCAAGGCAACGAUGCAUAGCCGACCUGAGAGGGUGAUCGGCCACACUGGAACUGAGACACGGUCCAGACUCCUACGGGAGGCAGCAGUAGGGAAUCUUCCGCAAUGGGCGAAAGCCUGACGGAGCAACGCCGCGUGAGUGAUGAAGGUCUUCGGAUCGUAAAACUCUGUUAUUAGGGAAGAACAUAUGUGUAAGUAACUGUGCACAUCUUGACGGUACCUAAUCAGAAAGCCACGGCUAACUACGUGCCAGCAGCCGCGGUAAUACGUAGGUGGCAAGCGUUAUCCGGAAUUAUUGGGCGUAAAGCGCGCGUAGGCGGUUUUUUAAGUCUGAUGUGAAAGCCCACGGCUCAACCGUGGAGGGUCAUUGGAAACUGGAAAACUUGAGUGCAGAAGAGGAAAGUGGAAUUCCAUGUGUAGCGGUGAAAUGCGCAGAGAUAUGGAGGAACACCAGUGGCGAAGGCGACUUUCUGGUCUGUAACUGACGCUGAUGUGCGAAAGCGUGGGGAUCAAACAGGAUUAGAUACCCUGGUAGUCCACGCCGUAAACGAUGAGUGCUAAGUGUUAGGGGGUUUCCGCCCCUUAGUGCUGCAGCUAACGCAUUAAGCACUCCGCCUGGGGAGUACGACCGCAAGGUUGAAACUCAAAGGAAUUGACGGGGACCCGCACAAGCGGUGGAGCAUGUGGUUUAAUUCGAAGCAACGCGAAGAACCUUACCAAAUCUUGACAUCCUUUGACAACUCUAGAGAUAGAGCCUUCCCCUUCGGGG